GGCUGGAUAGCUCAGUUGGUAGAGCGCCGGAACUGCAAUCCGGAGGUUGCAGGUUCAAGCCCCGCUCCACUCA
rnacentral:tRNA from 1 species